UGGAAUAAUUACAUAUGUACGAUAAUUUUACCAGAAGUACAAAAAUUUCAACUAGUAUAGUACGAUAAUAUGACCAAAACAAUCUGGCAACGCUGAAUAAUUCCUGUGCCACCUGUAGCAUCAAGAUCAAGAUCAAGUCUGGUGGAGGGAACAGAGGCGGCGUCCGCGUGGUGCUGUGGUCAGUGGUCAGGUCACGCCGAGUGUGCGGCAGAUUGCGCCUGUGUUUGAGCUGGCCUGGGUCACCUGUGGCCACCUGGCGGACUGGCGGCGCCUCCCUGGCCUCACCUGAGGGCGUGCAGGACAGCAGUGGCGAGACGGCAAGACCCCACCAGCAAGUCCAUUCUGCCCCAGAGCCCCUCGGGUCAGUGGCCGGCAAGUCCUCCCGUCCAUUCUGCCCCAGAGCCCCUCGGCCAGGUCCCACUGCAAGAUGGCGUCGUCCUUCCCCCCGCUGACCAGCAAGGAACCCUCGCUGGGGUGCCACUCCACGGUGCUGACCGGCGCUGAGUGGUGCUUCAGCUCUGCCACAGCCCGCGUCACUUCAACUACAGCCUUUGCAAUGUAGAAAUGUUGUUAAUCUGUCACCAGAACCACAAAAACACCCUUAAAAACCCGCGUCACUUCAACUACAGCCUUUGCAAUGUAGAAAUGUUGUUAAUCUGUCACCAGAACCACAAAAACACCCUUAAAAACCCGUGUCACUUCAACUACAGCCUUUGCAAUGUAGAAAUGUUGUUAAUCUGUCACCAGAACCACAAAAACACCCUUAAAAACCCGCGUCACUUCAACUACAGCCUUUGCAAUGUAGAAAUGUUGUUAAUCUGUCACCAGAACCACAAAAACACCCUUAAAAACCCGCACCACUUCAACUACAGCCUUUGGAAUGUAGAAAUUUUGUUAAUCUUUCACCAGAACCACAAAAACACCCUUAAAAACCCGCGUCACUUCAACUACAGCCUUUGGAAUGUAGAAAUGUUGUUAAUCUGUCACCAGAACCACAAAAACACCCUUAAAAACCCGCGUCACUUCAACUACAGCCUUUGCAAUGUAGAAAUGUUGUUAAUCUGUCACCAGAACCACAAAAACACCCUUAAAAACCCGCGUCACUUCAACUACAGCCUUUGGAAUGUAGAAAUGUUGUUAAUCUGUCACCAGAACCACAAAAACACCCUUAAAAACCCGCGUCACUUCAACUACAGCCUUUGCAAUGUAGAAAUGUUGUUAAUCUGUCACCAGAACCACAAAAACACCCUUAAAAACCCGUGUCACUUCAACUACAGCCUUUGCAAUGUAGAAAUGUUGUUAAUCUGUCACCAGAACCACAAAAACACCCUUAAAAACCCGUGUCACUUCAACUACAGCCUUUGCAAUGUAGAAAUGUUGUUAAUCUGUCACCAGAACUGUAGUCGCAGCGGCUGGGCAUGAGUUGGCUCUCAGGUGAUCUGUUUUACCAAUCACACCAUCAUCGUAGGGUAGAGGAGAGGCAGUUCUCCCUGACACGUUUAUUGAUGAGGUAGGCACGACCGUAACAACUGCGGACAAGUUCUCUGUCUCAAUUUCUUACAAGAUAACGUUACACGCUGAUAUUAAACACUUUCAACAUAUUACAGUAUUCAUUAACAAUACAUGCAGUCAACUUGGCACUAUGACAAGCAGUUUUUACCACAAAAUUAAAGUAUUUACCUCGGUCACCAUCCUGCCCGUCUUUGUCUGAGCGCGACUUGGCCGUGAGUGAUGCCCGCAGGCGACCAGCAGGUUAACCCCACACUACCAACAAGUGAGCAUCGGCUUUGUGCUCAAUAUAGCACUGAAUACUGAUACUCACACAUGUUACACGUUUUCAUGCAAAUAGAAGACUAUUGAACAUUUCACUUAUAAAUGCCGAGGAAUAAUGACGUGAGGUACAAACGCUUUACGUACAGUAACACAGUCCAUUUACCAGGCUUUACUACUGCUUCCUUUCUUCAGUAUUACCAAAGUUUACUCAGCUGAACCUUUUAUUUCAAAGUGAAAGAGUGGUCAUAACUGAAUUGCACAGGCAGGUUUGUAAUUUAUAUAAAGAAUUGCUACUGAUGUACAUGAACCAUGAAUACAUUGUGAAAACCAUGCUUUCAAAAGUUGAUCCAAGAUAUCAACGUGAGUUCCUGAUGCUAGAGCAGGUGUAUUUGGGUGCAUCUGUCUUAAAAACAGUAACAGACAAUCCAGAAUUAAGCAAGCAAAAAAAGGAAAUGUACGAGUUUGGCUUCCACUGCAGAUUAUUUUUGAUAGUAGCAGCAGAACAGAUCAGGAAGAGAUUUCAUUUCUGAGAUGAAGAAGUCCUUUCAAGAAUGCACAUGCUGGAGCCAGCCAGUGUUCUAGGCAUCCAGGGCAAAGUGCAAGAGCAAAGUGUGGUGCCCCUCGCGACACACCUUCCCCGAAUCAUUGCCCAGGAUGAUUCUACCCUCCAGCAACUGGACGAUGAGUGGAAGAGGCUUGCCGUAGAAGAUCUGCCUGAAUCCAUUACCAACAUGGCGAAAAAAGUGGACAAAAGCAAUUACAACCAGCCUGAUAAAUUUUGGUGUGCCAUAAAAACUCUGGAGGAUAGUGAUGGAAACCCCAAGUUUAAGCUUGUUUCAGACUUUUCACUAGGAUGUCUUUCUUUGCCUCAUGCUAAUGCUGACUGUGAGUGCUGCUUCUCUAGUGUAAACCGUGUGAAAACAAAAGACAGAAAUAAGCUAAUAACAGAAACCGUAAGAGACAUGAUCCUAGCGAAGCAGUGUGUUGCGUCCACAUCCAGCAGUGACUGUACGACCUUCAAGCCAUCAAUCAAAGUCAAUGAUAAAAAACAUGACAUCAAGAGUGCUAUAUUCCUCCAAUGAAGAGAGUGCCGGGGCUGCUGACGACGUGCCCCAUGUAUAUAUAGAAGAACAAGACCACUAAUCUCCUACAUACAUCAAGAUCAAGAUCAAGUCUGGUGGAGGGAACAGAGGCGGCGUCCGCGUGGUGCUGUGGUCAGUGGUCAGGUCACGCCGAGUGUGCGGCAGAUUGCGCCUGUGUUUGAGCUGGCCUGGGUCACCUGUGGCCACCUGGCGGACUGGCGGCGCCUCCCUGGCCUCACCUGAGGGCGUGCAGGACAGCAGUGGCGAGACGGCAAGACCCCACCAGCAAGUCCAUUCUGCCCCAGAGCCCCUCGGGUCAGUGGCCGGCAAGUCCUCCCGUCCAUUCUGCCCCAGAGCCCCUCGGCCAGGUCCCACUGCAAGAUGGCGUCGUCCUUCCCCCCGCUGACCAGCAAGGAACCCUCGCUGGGGUGCCACUCCACGGUGCUGACCGGCGCUGAGUGGUGCUUCAGCUCUGCCACAGCCCGCGUCACUUCAACUACAGCCUUUGCAAUGUAUAAAAUGUUGUUAACCUGUCACCAGAACCACAAAAACACCCUUAAAAACCCGCGUCACUUCAACUACAGCCUUUGCAAUGUAGAAAUGUUGUUAAUCUGUCACCAGAACCACAAAAACACCCUUAAAAACCCGCGUCACUUCAACUACAGCCUUUGCAAUGUAGAAAUGUUGUUAAUCUGUCACCAGAACCACAAAAACACCCUUAAAAACCCGCGUCACUUCAACUACAGCCUUUGGAAUGUAGAAAUGUUGUUAAUCUGUCACCAGAACCACAAAAACACCCUUAAAAACCCGCGUCACUUCAACUACAGCCUUUGCAAUGUAGAAAUGUUGUUAAUCUGUCACCAGAACCACAAAAACACCCUUAAAAACCCGCGUCACUUCAACUACAGCCUUUGGAAUGUAGAAAUGUUGUUAAUCUGUCACCAGAACCACAAAAACACCCUUAAAAACCCGCGUCACUUCAACUACAGCCUUUGCAAUGUAGAAAUGUUGUUAAUCUGUCACCAGAACCACAAAAACACCCUUAAAAACCCGUGUCACUUCAACUACAGCCUUUGCAAUGUAGAAAUGUUGUUAAUCUGUCACCAGAACCACAAAAACACCCUUAAAAACCCGUGUCACUUCAACUACAGCCUUUGCAAUGUAGAAAUGUUGUUAAUCUGUCACCAGAACUGUAGUCGCAGCGGCUGGGCAUGAGUUGGCUCUCAGGUGAUCUGUUUUACCAAUCACACCAUCAUCGUAGGGUAGAGGAGAGGCAGUUCUCCCUGACACGUUUAUUGAUGAGGUAGGCACGACCGUAACAACUGCGGACAAGUUCUCUGUCUCAAUUUCUUACAAGAUAACGUUACACGCUGAUAUUAAACACUUUCAACAUAUUACAGUAUUCAUUAACAAUACAUGCAGUCAACUUGGCACUAUGACAAGCAGUUUUUACCACAAAAUUAAAGUAUUUACCUCGGUCACCAUCCUGCCCGUCUUUGUCUGAGCGCGACUUGGCCGUGAGUGAUGCCCGCAGGCGACCAGCAGGUUAACCCCACACUACCAACAAGUGAGCAUCGGCUUUGUGCUCAAUAUAGCACUGAAUACUGAUACUCACACAUGUUACACGUUUUCAUGCAAAUAGAAGACUAUUGAACAUUUCACUUAUAAAUGCCGAGGAAUAAUGACGUGAGGUACAAACGCUUUACGUACAGUAACACAGUCCAUUUACCAGGCUUUACUACUGCUUCCUUUCUUCAGUAUUACCAAAGUUUACUCAGCUGAACCUUUUAUUUCAAAGUGAAAGAGUGGUCAUAACUGAAUUGCACAGGCAGGUUUGUAAUUUAUAUAAAGAAUUGCUACUGAUGUACAUGAACCAUGAAUACAUUGUGAAAACCAUGCUUUCAAAAGUUGAUCCAAGAUAUCAACGUGAGUUCCUGAUGCUAGAGCAGGUGUAUUUGGGUGCAUCUGUCUUAAAAACAGUAACAGACAAUCCAGAAUUAAGCAAGCAAAAAAAGGAAAUGUACGAGUUUGGCUUCCACUGCAGAUUAUUUUUGAUAGUAGCAGCAGAACAGAUCAGGAAGAGAUUUCAUUUCUGAGAUGAAGAAGUCCUUUCAAGAAUGCACAUGCUGGAGCCAGCCAGUGUUCUAGGCAUCCAGGGCAAAGUGCAAGAGCAAAGUGUGGUGCCCCUCGCGACACACCUUCCCCGAAUCAUUGCCCAGGAUGAUUCUACCCUCCAGCAACUGGACGAUGAGUGGAAGAGGCUUGCCGUAGAAGAUCUGCCUGAAUCCAUUACCAACAUGGCGAAAAAAGUGGACAAAAGCAAUUACAACCAGCCUGAUAAAUUUUGGUGUGCCAUAAAAACUCUGGAGGAUAGUGAUGGAAACCCCAAGUUUAAGCUUGUUUCAGACUUUUCACUAGGAUGUCUUUCUUUGCCUCAUGCUAAUGCUGACUGUGAGUGCUGCUUCUCUAGUGUAAACCGUGUGAAAACAAAAGACAGAAAUAAGCUAAUAACAGAAACCGUAAGAGACAUGAUCCUAGCGAAGCAGUGUGUUGCGUCCACAUCCAGCAGUGACUGUACGACCUUCAAGCCAUCAAUCAAAGUCAAUGAUAAAAAACAUGACAUCAAGAGUGCUAUAUUCCUCCAAUGAAGAGAGUGCCGGGGCUGCUGACGACGUGCCCCAUGUAUAUAUAGAAGAACAAGACCACUAAUCUCCUACAUACAUCAAGAUCAAGAUCAAGUCUGGUGGAGGGAACAGAGGCGGCGUCCGCGUGGUGCUGUGGUCAGUGGUCAGGUCACGCCGAGUGUGCGGCAGAUUGCGCCUGUGUUUGAGCUGGCCUGGGUCACCUGUGGCCACCUGGCGGACUGGCGGCGCCUCCCUGGCCUCACCUGAGGGCGUGCAGGACAGCAGUGGCGAGACGGCAAGACCCCACCAGCAAGUCCAUUCUGCCCCAGAGCCCCUCGGGUCAGUGGCCGGCAAGUCCUCCCGUCCAUUCUGCCCCAGAGCCCCUCGGCCAGGUCCCACUGCAAGAUGGCGUCGUCCUUCCCCCCGCUGACCAGCAAGGAACCCUCGCUGGGGUGCCACUCCACGGUGCUGACCGGCGCUGAGUGGUGCUUCAGCUCUGCCACAGCCCGCGUCACUUCAACUACAGCCUUUGCAAUGUAGAAAUGUUGUUAAUCUGUCACCAGAACCACAAAAACACCCUUAAAAACCCGUGUCACUUCAACUACAGCCUUUGCAAUGUAGAAAUGUUGUUAAUCUGUCACCAGAACCACAAAAACACCCUUAAAAACCCGCGUCACUUCAACUACAGCCUUUGCAAUGUAGAAAUGUUGUUAAUCUGUCACCAGAACUGUAGUCGCAGCGGCUGGGCAUGAGUUGGCUCUCAGGUGAUCUGUUUUACCAAUCACACCAUCAUCGUAGGGUAGAGGAGAGGCAGUUCUCCCUGACACGUUUAUUGAUGAGGUAGGCACGACCGUAACAACUGCGGACAAGUUCUCUGUCUCAAUUUCUUACAAGAUAACGUUACACGCUGAUAUUAAACACUUUCAACAUAUUACAGUAUUCAUUAACAAUACAUGCAGUCAACUUGGCACUAUGACAAGCAGUUUUUACCACAAAAUUAAAGUAUUUACCUCGGUCACCAUCCUGCCCGUCUUUGUCUGAGCGCGACUUGGCCGUGAGUGAUGCCCGCAGGCGACCAGCAGGUUAACCCCACACUACCAACAAGUGAGCAUCGGCUUUGUGCUCAAUAUAGCACUGAAUACUGAUACUCACACAUGUUACACGUUUUCAUGCAAAUAGAAGACUAUUGAACAUUUCACUUAUAAAUGCCGAGGAAUAAUGACGUGAGGUACAAACGCUUUACGUACAGUAACACAGUCCAUUUACCAGGCUUUACUACUGCUUCCUUUCUUCAGUAUUACCAAAGUUUACUCAGCUGAACCUUUUAUUUCAAAGUGAAAGAGUGGUCAUAACUGAAUUGCACAGGCAGGUUUGUAAUUUAUAUAAAGAAUUGCUACUGAUGUACAUGAACCAUGAAUACAUUGUGAAAACCAUGCUUUCAAAAGUUGAUCCAAGAUAUCAACGUGAGUUCCUGAUGCUAGAGCAGGUGUAUUUGGGUGCAUCUGUCUUAAAAACAGUAACAGACAAUCCAGAAUUAAGCAAGCAAAAAAAGGAAAUGUACGGGUUUCGCUUCCACUGCAGAUUAUUUUUGAUAGUAGCAGCAGAACAGAUCAGGAAGAGAUUUCAUUUCUGAGAUGAAGAAGUCCUUUCAAGAAUGCACAUGCUGGAGCCAGCCAGUGUUCUAGGCAUCCAGGGCAAAGUGCAAGAGCAAAGUGUGGUGCCCCUCGCGACACACCUUCCCCGAAUCAUUGCCCAGGAUGAUUCUACCCUCCAGCAACUGGACGAUGAGUGGAAGAGGCUUGCCGUAGAAGAUCUGCCUGAAUCCAUUACCAACAUGGCGAAAAAAGUGGACAAAAGCAAUUACAACCAGCCUGAUAAAUUUUGGUGUGCCAUAAAAACUCUGGAGGAUAGUGAUGGAAACCCCAAGUUUAAGCUUGUUUCAGACUUUUCACUAGGAUGUCUUUCUUUGCCUCAUGCUAAUGCUGACUGUGAGUGCUGCUUCUCUAGUGUAAACCGUGUGAAAACAAAAGACAGAAAUAAGCUAAUAACAGAAACCGUAAGAGACAUGAUCCUAGCGAAGCAGUGUGUUGCGUCCACAUCCAGCAGUGACUGUACGACCUUCAAGCCAUCAAUCAAAGUCAAUGAUAAAAAACAUGACAUCAAGAGUGCUAUAUUCCUCCAAUGAAGAGAGUGCCGGGGCUGCUGACGACGUGCCCCAUGUAUAUAUAGAAGAACAAGACCACUAAUCUCCUACAUACAUCAAGAUCAAGAUCAAGUCUGGUGGAGGGAACAGAGGCGGCGUCCGCGUGGUGCUGUGGUCAGUGGUCAGGUCACGCCGAGUGUGCGGCAGAUUGCGCCUGUGUUUGAGCUGGCCUGGGUCACCUGUGGCCACCUGGCGGACUGGCGGCGCCUCCCUGGCCUCACCUGAGGGCGUGCAGGACAGCAGUGGCGAGACGGCAAGACCCCACCAGCAAGUCCAUUCUGCCCCAGAGCCCCUCGGGUCAGUGGCCGGCAAGUCCUCCCGUCCAUUCUGCCCCAGAGCCCCUCGGGUGUCUACUGCCUCCUCCUACAAAGGCUGGCAAGUCCUCCCAUCCACUCUGCCCCAGAGCCCCUCAGGUCAGUGGCCGGCCACUCAGAACGCUGCACCACUGCUGUCAACACUUGCUUCUUUGUCACAAGUUACCACCAACAAAAACUGAUUGGCUCGCUCUUUGCACGGCUGUGGUGGCCCGCACAGAGUCAGUUGUUGUGUGGCGGCCCUACUCUGUAUGGAGGCUGUGUGUUAGGCUGAGGCUGAGGCAGGAAGCCCCUCGCUGCCUGCGUGGUGACGGCCUCCUCUGUUACAGGUGCCAGGUGUAUCUUGUCUGUGGAGGCUGUGUGUUAGGCUGAGGCUGAGGCAGGAAGCCCCUCGCUGCCUGUGUGGUGACGGCCUCCUCUG